rnacentral:misc_RNA from 1 species
AGGUAUAUUAGGGGGAGGGGGUUGCUCCGAGAGGACCCUCCACGGUGGGAUGGGAUAAUCAAGGUAUGGAUGUUCUGAGCCCUAGACACGGGUCCCCCUCGUGUCACAGCCUCGGUU